rnacentral:rRNA from 1 species
GACGAACGCUGGCGGCGUGCUUAACACAUGCAAGUCGAACGGUGAAGCGCUUUCCUUUUUGGUUGGUGUGGAUGAGUGGCGAACGGGUGAGUAACACGUGAGUAACCUGCCCCCUUCUUCUGGAUAACCGCAUGAAAGUGUGGCUAAUACGGGAUAUUCUGCGCCUGCUGCAUGGUGGGUGUGGGAAAGAUUGUGCCUUUGGGUGUUUUCGGCGGGGGAUGGGCUCGCGGCCUAUCAGCUUGUUGGUGGGGUGAUGGCCUACCAAGGCGGUGACGGGUAGCCGGCCUGAGAGGGUGGACGGUCACACUGGGACUGAGACACGGCCCAGACUCCUACGGGAGGCAGCAGUGGGGAAUAUUGCACAAUGGGCGCAAGCCUGAUGCAGCGACGCCGCGUGAGGGAUGGAGGCCUUCGGGUUGUGAACCUCUUUCGCCAGUGAAGCAGGCCUGCUCCUUGUGGGUGGGUUGACGGUAGCUGGAUAAGAAGCGCCGGCUAACUACGUG